CCACCACUAAGCCAGUGGUGAACUCCACAUACGCAUCCUUUGCUGAGGAUACGGUUAACGGAGCGAAAGCGACGUUCAACCGCAAAAGAAGCAGAGGGGGCUUAGUGGUGGGGUGACUGCGUACCUUUUGUAUAAUGGGUCAGCGACUUAUAUUCUGUAGCAAGGUUAACCGAAUAGGGGAGCCGGAGGGAAACCGAGUCUUAAUUGGGCGUUAAGUUGCAGGGUAUAGACCCGAAACCCGGUGAUCUAGCCAUGGGCAGGUUGAAGGUUGGGUAACACUAACUGGAGGACCGAACCGACUAAUGUUGAAAAAUUAGCGGAUGACCUGUGGCUGGGGGUGAAAGGCCAAUCAAACCGGGAGAUAGCUGGUUCUCCCCGAAAGCUAUUUAGGUAGCGCCUCGUGAAUUCAUCUCCGGGGGUAGAGCACUGUUUCGGCUAGGGGGCCAUCCCGGCUUACCAACCCGAUGCAAACUGCGAAUACCGGAGAAUGUUAUCACGGGAGACACACGGCGGGUGCUAACGUCCGUCGUGAAGAGGGAAACAACCCAGACCGCCAGCUAAGGUCCCAAAGUCAUGGUUAAGUGGGAAACGAUGUGGGAAGGCCCAGACAGCCAGGAUGUUGGCUUAGAAGCAGCCAUCAUUUAAAGAAAGCGUAAUAGCUCACUGGUCGAGUCGGCCUGCGCGGAAGAUGUAACGGGGCUAAACCAUGCACCGAAGCUGCGGCAGCGAACGUAUCACCCAAGACAACUUUACGGAGUUGACGAUUGACGGAGCGAAGCGACGUCAAAGCGUUCAUUAAAGUCGAGUUGGCUUAGGGAUACGUUCGUUGGGUAGGGGAGCGUUCUGUAAGCCUGUGAAGGUGUGUCGUGAGGCAUGCUGGAGGUAUCAGAAGUGCGAAUGCUGACAUAAGUAACGAUAAAGCGGGUGAAAAGCCCGCUCGCCGGAAGACCAAGGGUUCCUGUCCAACGUUAAUCGGGGCAGGGUGAGUCGACCCCUAAGGCGAGGCCGAAAGGCGUAGUCGAUGGGAAACGGGUUAAUAUUCCCGUACUUGGUGUUACUGCGAAGGGGGGACGGAGAAGGCUAUGUUGGCCGGGCGACGGUUGUCCCGGUUUAAGCGUGUAGGUGUGUGUUCCAGGUAAAUCCGGUUCACUUUAACACUGAGGCGUGACGACGAGGCACUACGGUGCUGAAGCAACAAAUGCCCUGCUUCCAGGAAAAGCCUCUAAGCAUCAGGUAACAUCAAAUCGUACCCCAAACCGACACAGGUGGUCAGGUAGAGAAUACCAAGGCGCUUGAGAGAACUCGGGUGAAGGAACUAGGCAAAAUGGUGCCGUAACUUCGGGAGAAGGCACGCUGACACGUAGGUGAAGUGAUUUACUCA
rnacentral:rRNA from 1 species